UACGUAGGUGGCAAGCGUUGUCCGGAAUUAUUGGGCGUAAAGCGCGCGCAGGCGGUUUCUUAAGUCUGAUGUGAAAGCCCACGGCUUAACCGUGGAAGGUCAUUGGAAACUGGGAGACUUGAGUGCAGAAGAGAAGAGCGGAAUUCCACGUGUAGCGGUGAAAUGCGUAGAGAUGUGGAGGAACACCAGUGGCGAAGGCGGCUCUUUGGUCUGUAACUGACGCUGAGGCGCGAAAGCUAGGGGAGCAAACGGG
rnacentral:rRNA from 1 species